GGAACCACUCCACUAUCCAUAGCAGCCCAUAAUGGACAUGUGGAAGUUGUGCAGCAGUUGCUGGAGUUUGGAGCAGAAGUGAACAAGGCUGAUGAGGAAGGAUUCACACCAUUACACAUGGCAGCCCAGGAGGGACAUGUGGAAGUUGUGCAGCAGCUGCUGAAGGCUGGAGCAGAAGUGGACAAGGCUAAGCAGGACGGAGCCACUCCACUGUUCAUAGCAGCCCAGACGGGACAUGUGGAAGUUGUGCAGCAGCUGCUGAAGGCUGGAGCAGAAGUGGACAAGGCUAUGCAGG